CCGACGUGGGACUCAAUCCCGGGUCUCCAGGAUCACACCCUGAGCUGAAGGCGGCGCUAAACCGCUGGGCCACCGGGCUGCCCUCCAUCUGUACUUUCAACCUCUGCUGCACCUUGUUGGCUAUUCCUGCCCCUGGGCCUGGAUUUAGGGUAAGAGCUUCAACCUACGAAUUUGGGGGGAUCACAAACAGGUGGCUCAUAACAGCGUGGGGGCCUGGCAAGACUCCCAGAAGCACAAGUCAGGUGGUCUCUGAGGGCAGAUGCAACUCUGAGCAGGAAGGGCCCUGAGCAGCCCAGGAAGGCUUCCUGGAGGAGGCUCAGAGCCGGGUCCCCGUGACCCCAUGACCUUCAGAGUUGAACAAUUUCUGGAACCGUGGGAGCCAAAGGCCCAGGUGGAGUCUCUCUUCUCCCAGUGGGUAAAAGCACGAUUUCUGGGUGGAACUGUUAUUUUGAUUUUUGUUUUGCUUUUAGCAGUUCUAUCAGGCAUAACAGAUUAAAAAAAAAAACCCACAUGUAUUUGAAAAAGUACAAUUUAAUGAGU